GAAUCUGAGUGGUGGAUCAGUCAGCUUAUGCGUCGAUGAAGAACGCAGCUAGCUGCGAGAACUAAUGUGGAUUGCAGGACACAUUGAACAUUGACACUUUGAACACACUUUGUGGCCCUGGGUUACUCCCAGGGCUAUGCCUGUCUGAGGGUUG